rnacentral:rRNA from 1 species
AAUGAACGCUGGCGGCAUGCCUAACACAUGCAAGUCGAACGAAAACACAGUGAGCUUUCGCCCCUGCGGGUGGCGGGGGACGGAUGGGUGACGCAUGGAUCGGAUACCUCUUUUACGGGGGUGAUAACGUGGGACAAGUUCUGCUAACACAGCAUAUAUCGAACCGGUGUGAGCAGUGGUUCUAUGCGGUUUUUGUGUCUGUAAGAGCCGAUGUCGGAUUAGCUAGUUGGCGAGGUAAAGGCACAGCUAGGCCACGCUGCGUAGCUGAUCUGACAGGGUGAUCAGCCACACUGGAACUGAGACACGGUCCAGACUCCUACGGGAGGCAGCAGUGGGGAAUAUUCCGCAAUGGGCGAAAGCCUGAUCGAGCAAUACCGCGUGAGUGAUGAAGGCCUUCGGAUUGUAAAGCCCUGUUGUUAGGAAAGAAGAAAAGCUUAUUUAACCCCGGAUGUCUUGACGGUACCUAAAGAAUAAGCACCGGCUAACUACGUG